rnacentral:rRNA from 1 species
AACGAACGCUGGCGGCAUGCCUAACACAUGCAAGUCGAACGAGACCUUCGGGUCUAGUGGCGCACGGGUGCGUAAUGCGUGGGAACCUGCCCUUAGGUUCGGAAUAACUCCCCGAAAGGGGUGCUAAUACCGGAUAAUGUCUUCGGACCAAAGAUUUAUCGCCUUUGGAUGGGCCCGCGUUGGAUUAGCUAGUUGGUAGGGUAAAAGCCUACCAAGGCGACGAUCCAUAGCUGGUCUGAGAGGAUGAUCAGCCACACUGGGACUGAGACACGGCCCAGACUCCUACGGGAGGCAGCAGUGGGGAAUAUUGGACAAUGGGCGAAAGCCUGAUCCAGCAAUGCCGCGUGAGUGAUGAAGGCCUUAGGGUUGUAAAGCUCUUUUAACCGGGAUGAUAAUGACAGUACCGGGAGAAUAAGCUCCGGCUAACUCCGUG